AUUGAACGCUGGCGGCAGGCUUAACACAUGCAAGUCGAGCGGGGUGAUGGUGCUUGCACUAUCACUUAGCGGCGGACGGGUGAGUAAUGCUUAGGAAUCUGCCUAUUAGUGGGGGACAACAUCUCGAAAGGGAUGCUAAUACCGCAUACGUCCUACGGGAGAAAGCAGGGGAUCACUUGUGACCUUGCGCUAAUAGAUGAGCCUAAGUCGGAUUAGCUAGUUGGUGGGGUAAAGGCCUACCAAGGCGACGAUCUGUAGCGGGUCUGAGAGGAUGAUCCGCCGCACUGGGACUGAGACACGGCCCAGCCUCCUACGGGAGGAAGCAGUGGGGAAUAUUGGGCAAUGGGGGGAACCCUGAUCCAGCCAUGCCGCGUGUGUGAAGAAGGCCUUAUGGUUGUAAAGCACUUUAAGCGAGGAGGAGGCUCUUUUGGUUAAUACCCAAGAUGAGUGGACGUUACUCGCAGAAUAAGCACCGGCUAACUCUGUGCCAGCCGCCGCGGUAA
rnacentral:rRNA from 1 species